UUAAACAUUGAGAUUGCUAAACCAACAUUGAGAUUACUAACCCUCCAUGGGAAUUCUGAUGAAAUGGAUUUGGGUUGGGGCCCAGUGACCUGGUUUUUGUUUUUUAGUUGCUUGCUUCUAUGUCUGCUUGCUUGUUUGUUUUUAAACAGGAGCUUUAGGUCCCUAUCUUCAAGGAAGUUGGGGAAACCUUGGCUAGAUGACUGAGAGACUUUCUAACCCUGCCAGUCUGUAAUUCUGUGAUUCUGCAAGACAGAGUUUCGCUCUUGUUACCCAGGCCAGAGUGCAAUGGCGCGAUCUCGGCUCACCGCAACCUCCGUGUCCUGGGUUCAGGCAAUUCUCCUGCCUCAGCCUCCUGACCAAACAGUCAUUUCUAUUUGAAGUUUAAGCAUUUUUAAGAUGCACCUACACUUUCUCAAAUCAACGAUGCAAGAUGGAAAGAAAGCAGAAGAUUUUAGAAUCUCUUUGAACAUCUUUGAAAACAGUAGCUAUCCGUUGAGAGAAGAGUUGACACUGGAGAAAGGAAAUGUAAACGUAAGACUGGCAGGAUCUCACUCUGUUUCCCAGGCUGGAGUGUGGUGACAAGAUCAUAGCUUACUGCCACCCUGAACUCCUAGGCGAAAGUGAUCCUCCC
rnacentral:lncRNA from 13 species